AUUGAACGCUGGCGGCAGGCCUAACACAUGCAAGUCGAACGGUAGCAGGAAGAAGCUUGCUUCUUUGCUGACGAGUGGCGGACGGGUGUGUAAUGUCUGGGAAACUGCCUGAUGGAGGGGGAUAACUACUGGAAACGGUAGCUAAUACCGCAUAACGUCGCAACACCAAAGAGCAGGACCUUCGGGCCUCUUGCCAUCGGAUGUGCCCAGAAUGGAUUAGCUAGUAGGUGGGGUAACGGCUCACCUAGGCAACGAUCCCUAGCUGGUCUGAGAGGGUGACCAGCCACACUGGAACUGAGACACGGUCCAGACUCCUACGGGAGGCAGCAGUGGGGAAUAUUGCACAAUGGGCGCAAGCCUGAUGGAGCCAUGCCGCGUGUAUGAAGAAGGUCUUCGGGUUGUAAAGUACUUUCAGCGGGGAGGAAGGGAGGAAAGUGUAUCCCUUUGCUCAUUGACGUUACCCGCAGAAGAAGCCCCGGCUAACUCCGUG
rnacentral:rRNA from 1 species